CAGCCGCCACGGUAAUACAGAGGGUGCGAGCGUUAAUCGGAUUUACUGGGCGUAAAGCGUGCGUAGGCGGCUUCUUAAGUCGGAUGUGAAAUCCCUGAGCUUAACUUAGGAAUUGCAUUCGAUACUGGGAAGCUAGAGUAUGGGAGAAGAUGGUAGAAUUCCAGGUGUAGCGGUGAAAUGCGUAGAGAUCUGGAGGAAUACCGAUGGCGAAGGCAGCCAUCUGGCCUAAUACUGACGCUGAGGUACGAAAGCAUGGGGAGCAAACAGGAUUAGAUACCCCUGUAGUCCCUGUCUCUUAUAC
rnacentral:rRNA from 1 species